rnacentral:RNase_P_RNA from 1 species
AAGGUAAGUCAGUCUAUCGCUUUAAUUUAAUAUUAAAGAGGAAAGUCUGGGCAGCAAAGAGUGUCGUGCUUCUUAACGGGAAGGGUUUUGUUUAUUCAAAAUACAGAUAGUGCCACAGAAAGGAAAACUACCAGUCUUUGAUUGGAAAAGGUGAAAAGGUGAGGUAAGAGCUCACCGGGUUGUUGGUGACAAUAGCCGCUAGGUAAACCUCACGAGUUGAAAGACCAUGUAAACCUAGGUUUGAGGACUACUCGUUCGACUAGGAGGGUAGGUUGAUGGAUUCUAACAGUGAUGUUAGAACUAGAUAAAUGAUAGACACUGUGAUUUAUUUUACAGAUACAGGACCCGGCUUAAGACUUGCCUUUCUU